UCGUGUGCUUUCUUCUGGACAUGUGGAAACAGAACUAAAUACAAGAAACAAAAGCCAAGAACUUUAGAUGUAGUUUCUGAACCUGCCAUGAAUAAAUCCACACAAAUGGCUACCAAUUGAGGCUCUGAAACAUCUCAGUAUAGAAUUCAAAACAGUUAGAUAUAUAUCUAUUAAAUUUCCAGGUGAGUCCGAAUUAAAAGUAUUUUUAUGAUUAUUCACUUCAUCCUAUAAUUACAUUACUUAAUUUCUUUUAUUCAAUUGAUUUAACAUAGAUAGUAAUAGCUUACUUUGAAAAAUUUCCAAAGUUCUUCAUGAAUUUUUACAAAUGAUUUGUAUCCAGAUAUUUCUGGUGCAAUAAAUCUCAAUAAGGGAAAAUGACUAAAUGGUG